UGAGUAACAUCAACUGGAGGACCGAACCGACUAAUGUUGAAAAAUUAGCGGAUGACUUGUGGCUAGGGGUGAAAGGCCAAUCAAACUCGGAGAUAGCUGGUUCUCCCCGAAAGCUAUUUAGGUAGCGCCUCGGACGAAUACUACUGGGGGUAGAGCACUGUUAAGGCUAGGGGGUCAUCCCGACUUACCAACCCUUUGCAAACUCCGAAUACCAGUAAGUACUAUCCGGGAGACACACGGCGGGUGCUAACGUCCGUCGUGGAGAGGGAAACAACCCAGACCGCCAGCUAAGGUCCCAAAGUAUUGCUAAGUGGGAAACGAUGUGGGAAGGCUCAGACAGCUAGGAUGUUGGCUUAGAAGCAGCCAUCAUUUAAAGAAAGCGUAAUAGCUCACUAGUCGAGUCGGCCUGCGCGGAAGAUGUAACGGGGCUAAGCAAUACACCGAAGCUGCGGCAAUGUCUUUUAGACAUUGGGUAGGGGAGCGUUCUGUAAGCCGUUGAAGGUGAAUCGUAAGGUUUGCUGGAGGUAUCAGAAGUGCGAAUGCUGACAUGAGUAACGACAAAGGGGGUGAAAAACCUCCUCGCCGGAAGACCAAGGGUUCCUGUCCAACGUUAAUCGGGGCAGGGUGAGUCGACCCCUAAGGUGAGGCCGAAAGGCGUAAUCGAUGGGAAACGGGUUAAUAUUCCCGUACUUCUGACUAUUGCGAUGGGGGGACGGAGAAGGCUAGGUGGGCCAGGCGACGGUUGUCCUGGUUCAAGUGCGUAGGCUUGAGAGUUAGGUAAAUCCGGCUCUCUCUAAGGCUGAGACACGACGUCGAGCUACUACGGUAGUGAAGUCAUUGAUGCCAUGCUUCCAGGAAAAGCCUCUAAGCUUCAGAUAGUCAGGAAUCGUACCCCAAACCGACACAGGUGGUCGGGUAGAGAAUACCAAGGCGCUUGAGAGAACUCGGGUGAAGGAACUAGGCAAAAUGGUACCGUAACUUCGGGAGAAGGUACGCUCUUGAUGGUGAAGUCCCUCGCGGAUGGAGCUGACGAGAGUCGCAGAUACCAGGUGGCUGCAACUGUUUAUUAAAAACACAGCACUGUGCAAAAUCGCAAGAUGACGUAUACGGUGUGACGCCUGCCCGGUGCCGGAAGGUUAAUUGAUGGGGUUAGCGCAAGCGAAGCUCUUGAUCGAAGCCCCGGUAAACGGCGGCCGUAACUAUAACGGUCCUAAGGUAGCGAAAUUCCUUGUCGGGUAAGUUCCGACCUGCACGAAUGGCGUAAUGAUGGCCACGCUGUCUCCACCCGAGACUCAGUGAAAUUGAAAUCGCUGUGAAGAUGCAGUGUACCCGCGGCUAGACGGAAAGACCCCGUGAACCUUUACUACAGCUUGGCACUGAACAUUGAACCUACAUGUGUAGGAUAGGUGGGAGGCUAUGAAGACGUGACGCCAGUUGCGUUGGAGCCGUCCUUGAAAUACCACCCUUGUAUGUUUGAUGUUCUAACUUAGACCCAUUAUCUGGGUUGAGGACAGUGCCUGGUGGGUAGUUUGACUGGGGCGGUCUCCUCCCAAAGAGUAACGGAGGAGCACGAAGGUGGGCUAAUCACGGUUGGACAUCGUGAGGUUAGUGCAAUGGCAUAAGCCCGCUUAACUGCGAGAAUGACGGUUCGAGCAGGUGCGAAAGCAGGUCAUAGUGAUCCGGUGGUUCUGUAUGGAAGGGCCAUCGCUCAACGGAUAAAAGGUACUCCGGGGAUAACAGGCUGAUACCGCCCAAGAGUUCAUAUCGACGGCGGUGUUUGGCACCUCGAUGUCGGCUCAUCACAUCCUGGGGCUGAAGUCGGUCCCAAGGGUAUGGCUGUUCGCCAUUUAAAGUGGUACGCGAGCUGGGUUUAGAACGUCGUGAGACAGUUCGGUCCCUAUCUGCCGUGGGCGUUGGAAGAUUGAAGGGGGCUGCUCCUAGUACGAGAGGACCGGAGUGGACGAACCUCUGGUGUUCGGGUUGUGUCGCCAGACGCAUUGCCCGGUAGCUAAGUUCGGAAUUGAUAAGCGCUGAAAGCAUCUAAGCGCGAAGCGAGCCCUGAGAUGAGUCUUCCCUGACAGUUUAACUGUCCUAAAGGGUUGUUCGAGACUAGAACGUUGAUAGGCAGGGUGUGUAAGCGUUGUGAGGCGUUGAGCUAACCUGUACUAAUUGCCCGUGAGGCUUAACCAUACAACACCCAAGGGGUUUUGUA
rnacentral:rRNA from 1 species